UACGAAGGGGGCUAGCGUUGCUCGGAAUCACUGGGCGUAAAGGGUGCGUAGGCGGGUCUUUAAGUCCGGGGUGAAAUCCUGGAGCUCAACUCCAGAACUGCCUUUGAUACUGAAGAUCUUGAGUUCGGGAGAGGUGAGUGGAACUGCGAGUGUAGAGGUGAAAUUCGUAGAUAUUCGCAAGAACACCAGUGGCGAAGGCGGCUCACUGGCCCGAUACUGACGCUGAGACGCGAAAGCGUGGGGAGCAAACAGG
rnacentral:rRNA from 1 species